rnacentral:rRNA from 1 species
GGGCCCGCACAAGCAGUGGAGUAUGUGGUUUAAUUCGACGCAACGCGAAGAACCUUACCAGGGCUUGACAUCGUCUGACCGCAUAAGAGAUUAUGCUUUCCCUUCGGGGACAGAUAGACAGGUGGUGCAUGGUUGUCGUCAGCUCGUGUCGUGAGAUGUUGGGUUAAGUCCCGCAACGAGCGCAACCCCUAUUGCCAGUUGCCAGCGAGUAAUGUCGGGCACUCUGGCGAGACUGCCGUUGACAAAACGGAGGAAGGUGGGGACGACGUCAAAUCAUCAUGCCCCUUAUGUCCUGGGCUACACACGUACUACAAUGGCAACAACAGAGGGCAGCCAAACCGCGAGGUUGAGCGAAUCCCCAAAUGUUGUCUCAGUUCAGAUUGCAGGCUGCAACUCGCCUGCAUGAAGUCGGAAUUGCUAGUAAUGGCAGGUCAGCAUACUGCCGUGAAUACGUUCCCGGGCCUU